UAUGUGAUCGUCUCUCGCAUAUCAAUAAGCGGAGGAAAAGAAACUAACAAGGAUUCCCCUAGUAACGGCGAGUGAAGCGGGAAGAGCUCAAAUUUGAAAUCUUAAAGGGUUUCCCUUUACGAAUUGUAGUUUAAAGAAGUGUUUUCUGUUGAGGUUUUGGUAAAAGUUCUUUGGAAUAGGACAUCAUAGAGGGUGAGAAUCCCGUAUUUGACCUUUACUUUCAACUUUGUGAUACACUUUCAAAGAGUCGGAUUGUUUGGGGAUGCAGUCCAAAAUGGGUGGUAAAUUUCAUCUAAAGCUAAAUAUUGGCGAGAGACCGAUAGCGAACAAGUACCGUGAGGGAAAGAUGAAAAGAACUUUGAAAAGAGAGUUAAACAGUACGUGAAAUUGUCAAAAGGGAAGCGUUUGACACCAGUGUUGUUUUUCUGAAAAUCAAUUAAAGAACUGUUUAUGCUAAGCUGUUUAGACUUUAUCAGCUAUCUGUUUAGUUUUAGGCUUUUCUUUAAUGCACUUUUCAGUUAACAAGUCAACAUCAAUUUCUUUUGCUGUAAAAAAGCUUGAGGAAGGUGGCUUGAGAUUCGUCUUAAGUGUUUAUAGCCUCUUGCCUAUGCAGUCGGAGAGAUUGAGGUCUGCAGCGUAGAUCCUUCGGGGCUAAAUGCAUUUGUGCUAAGUUAUAGCAUUUUAUAGACAACUUGUUGACUAUGAUUUGUCUUGUAGCUUACUCGCUUAUGUUAUUUUACCUACGCUUAGGAUGUUGAUCUACAGAGCGAGAGU
rnacentral:rRNA from 1 species